rnacentral:rRNA from 1 species
UACGGAGGGGGCUAGCGUUGUUCGGAAUUACUGGGCGUAAAGCGCACGUAGGCGGCUUUGUAAGUCAGAGGUGAAAGCCCGGAGCUCAACUCCGGAAUUGCCUUUGAGACUGCAUCGCUUGAAUCCAGGAGAGGUGAGUGGAAUUCCGAGUGUAGAGGUGAAAUUCGUAGAUAUUCGGAAGAACACCAGUGGCGAAGGCGGCUCACUGGACUGGUAUUGACGCUGAGGUGCGAAAGCGUGGGGAGCAGACAGG